AUUGAACGCUGGCGGCAGGCCUAACACAUGCAAGUCGAGCGUGCGGCGGACGGGUGAGUAAUGUCUGGGAAACCGCCUGAUGGAGGGGGAUAACUACUGGAAACGGUAGCUAAUACCGCAUACCAUCGGAUGUGCCCAGUUGGGAUUAGCUCGUAGGUGGGGUAAAGGCACACCUAGGCGACGAUCCCUAGCUGGUCUGAGAGGUUGACCAGCCAAACUGGAACUGAGAAACGGUCCAGACUCCUACGGGAGGCAGAAGUGGGGAAUAGGGCACAAUGGUCGCAAGCCGGAUGCAGCCAUGCCGCGUGUAGGAAGAAGGCCUUCGGGUUGUAAAGUACGUUCAGCGGGGAGGCGUUACCCGCAGAGGAAGCACCGGCUAACACCGUGCCAGCAGCCGCGGUAAUUC
rnacentral:rRNA from 1 species